GAUUUCAACUGGAAAAAGUCAUCAACAACAAAGUUGUAUAACUCAUCAAGAUCUAUAACUUUUAUUUUGGUCAUUUCUUCAUCCGACAAAGUGAUAGUAGUAUUGUUUACAAAAUUUACAUCUAUAUCAUUUGGUUCUAUAAACUAUAAAGGAGAUAUGUAAACUUUGUGAAUAAUACUACUGUCACUUUAUCGGAUGAAGAAAUGAUCAAAAUAAAAGUUGUAUGUCUUGAUGAGCUCUACAACUUUUAUGUUCAUGACUUUUUCAGCUGAAAUU
rnacentral:pre_miRNA from 1 species